GACAGAGGUGCCGAGCGUUAGGCGGAAUCACUAGGGCUUAAAGCGUGUGUAGGCGGAUCGUUAAGUGCCUUGUCGAAAAUCCCACGGCUCAACCGUGGAACUGCUUGGCAUACUGGCGAUCUUGAGCCACUUAGGGGCUACCGGAACAAAUGGUGGAGCGGUGAAAUGCGUAGAUAUCAUUUGGAACGCCAAUGGUGAAAACAGGUAGCUGGGAGUGUGCUGACGCUGAGACACGAAAGCGUGGGGAGCGAACAGG
rnacentral:rRNA from 1 species